rnacentral:sRNA from 10 species
AGGAUAACUUGUUCAAUAACGGAUUAUCCCCGCUGACGAAAGCGCCAUUUUUCGACCAUCGUCACGCCUUUGUCUGGCGAACAUUAGCGCAGUACCUUCAUUUAAGCGUCGCGUGGAUGUUAUGGCACUAUUUCGAUCAUUGAAUACACGGGAAACC